rnacentral:snRNA from 1 species
GGAUGUGAAGGGGAUCUGGUGCAGCAUGUCAUCCCACUGAUCAGUAAGGCUGAUUUCACUGAUCUGGCUGGCUAGGUGGGUAUCCAAUUCCUCCAUCACCAUUCACCAUUUCCUGUGUGUGCCCCCCACCCCCGACCAAACUCUAUGCAGUGGAAGAAGACAACCACCCCCAAUAGAGGAUGAUGAUUUCCUCAGACAAGUGUAUAUGAGUAGCUGCUCUCCCUUGCUAGAACAUCCUAACAAAGUGCCUACCAUAACAUUAAUUUCUGGUAUUAGAAGUUACCAGGGGAGGGGCAGAGCAAUGUCG